rnacentral:rRNA from 1 species
UACGUAGGGUGCGAGCGUUGUCCGGAAUUAUUGGGCGUAAAGAGCUUGUAGGCGGUUUGUCGCGUCUGCCGUGAAAAUUCGAGGCUCAACCUCGAACUUGCGGUGGGUACGGGCAGACUAGAGUGUGGUAGGGGAGACUGGAAUUCCUGGUGUAGCGGUGAAAUGCGCAGAUAUCAGGAGGAACACCGGUGGCGAAGGCGGGUCUCUGGGCCGAUACUGACACUGAGGAGCGAAAGCGUGGGGAGCGAACAGG